AGCGAURAAACUUUAACAGAACCCUUCGGGGCGAAGAUAAAGUGGAUUAGCGGCGGACGGGUGAGUAACACGUGAGUAACCUGCCUUAGACAUUGGGAUAGCCUCGGGAAACCGGGAUUAAUACCAAAUAAAAUCAUAAUGACACAUGUCAUAACGAUCAAAACUCCGGUGGUCUAAGAUGGACUCGCGUCCCAUUAGCUAGUUGGUAGAGUAAAAGCCUACCAAGGCGACGAUGGGUAGCCGGCCUGAGAGGGUGAACGGCCACAUUGGAACUGAGAAACGGUCCAAACUCCUACGGGAGGCAGCAGUGGGGAAUAUUGCACAAUGGAGGGAACUCUGAUGCAGCGACGCCGCGUGAACGAAGAAGGCUUUCGAGUCGUAAAGUUCUUUUAUAUGGGAAGAUAAUGACGGUACCAUAAGAAAAAGCCCCGGCUAACUACGUGCCAGCAGCCGCGGUAAUACGUAGGGGGCUAGCGUUGUCCGGAAUCACUGGGCGUAAAGGGUUCGCAGGCGGAAAUGCAAGUCAGAUGUAAAAGGCAGUAGCUUAACUACUGUAAGCAUUUGAAACUGCAUAUCUUGAGAAGAGUAGAGGUAAGUGGAAUUUUUAGUGUAGCGGUGAAAUGCGUAGAUAUUAAAAAGAAUACCGGUGGCGAAGGCGACUUGCUGGGCUCAUUCUGACGCUGAGGAACGAAAGCGUGGGUAGCAAACAGGAUUAGAUACCCUGGU
rnacentral:rRNA from 1 species